GGGGGUGCCCAGGUUUCGACGGGGAUUGGAAGCGCAGGUUGCAUGCCGGGGACGCCAGUUGGCCUCGUUAAAAAACUGGCACACACACAAACGCCGACACUGACGUUCGUUACGCACUAGCGGCUUAAUUGCCGCUACAUCCCCCUGAUCUAGCGCCCACAUGGGACCCGGGGAUGUCAUUAUGGUGGGCUAGCUCCCGGGAAUGCCUGUGGCCCAGGAGCGAAAUCAAAGCCGGAUCGCCCAAAGAGGAGCCUGUCCGUGGGGGCCUCGCGGGUUAAAUCAAAUUACGGACUACGCAUGUAGAAGCUUAUCGUGAAAGAUUUUCGGACGCGGGUUCGAUUCCCGCCACCUCCACCA
rfam:Desulfuromonadales bacterium GWD2_61_12 gwd2_scaffold_3156, whole genome shotgun sequence.